ACAAUUUUACAAUUUUUCAUAGCAGACAUUAUUUAUUUAUUAUCAUUUCUAGAUGCUGAAGAAAUGCUUGGGAAUAAAGUUGAUGGAGCUGAAAGCACCCAUUCAUGGAGCAGGUAUAGGACCUGCUAUUGCCAAAAAGACCAUUGUUAUUCAUCCGGUAUUUACUAUUACUGCAACAGUGUCAGUCAUCAAAUCUGUCAGUGCCAAAACCCAGUAUAAACUUGGAGUAAAUGGUCACUUGCUAAUGGAC